rnacentral:rRNA from 1 species
CAGCCGCCGCGGGAAUACAGAGGGUGCAAGCGUUAAUCGGAAUUACUGGGCGUAAAGCGCGCGUAGGUGGUUUGUUAAGUUGGAUGUGAAAUCCCCGGGCUCAACCUGGGAACUGCAUCCAAAACUGGCAAGCUAGAGUAUGGUAGAGGGUGGUGUAAUUUCCUGUGUAGCGGUGAAAUGCGUAGAUAUAGGAAGGAACACCAGUGGCGAAGGCGACCACCUGGACUGAUACUGACACUGAGGUGCGAAAGCGUGGGGAGCAAACAGGAUUAGAUACCCCAGUAGUCCCUGUCUCUUAUAC